rnacentral:rRNA from 1 species
AACGAACGUUAGCGGCGCGCUUAACACAUGCAAGUCGAACGAGAAAGGGCUUCGGCCCCGGUACAGUGGCGCACGGGUGAGUAACACGUGGGUAAUCUACCCCCGAGCGGGGGAUAACGUUCCGAAAGGAGCGCUAAUACCGCAUAAGACCACGCUCUCGAAAGGGAGCGAGGUAAAAGUAGGCCUCUGAAUUCACGCUUACACUCGAGGAUGAGCCCGCGGCCCAUCAUGGUAGUUGGUAGGGUAAUGGCCUACCAAGCCGAAGACGGGUAGCUGGUCUUAGAGGAUGAUCAGCCACACUGGAACUGAGACACGGUCCAGACUCCUACGGGAGGCAGCAGUGGGGAAUCUUGCGCAAUGGGCGAAAGCCUGACGCAGCGACGCCGCGUGGGUGAUGAAGGCC